rnacentral:rRNA from 1 species
UGGCGGCGGCUAAUCAUGCGCUGAAGCGCCCUUCGGGUGAGUCCGGGCGGUAUAGUACGCGUGGGACGUGCCCUUCUCUACGGAAUAGCCUCUGGAAACGGAGAGUAAUACCGUAUACGCCCUUUGGGGGAAAGAUUUAUCGGAGAAGGAUCGGCCCGCGUUAGAUUAGGUAGUUGGUGGGGUAACGGCCUACCAAGCCUACGAUCUAUAGCUGGUUUUAGAGGAUGAUCAGCAACACUGGGACUGAGACACGGCCCAGACUCCUACGGGAGGCAGCAGUGGGGAAUACUAGACAAUGGGGGCAACCCUGAUCUAGCCAUGCCGCGUGAGUGAUGAAGGCCUUAGGGUCGUAAAGCUCUUUCGCCUGUGAUGAUAAUGACAGUAGCAGGUAAAGAAACCCCGGCUAACUCCGUGCCAGCAGCCGCGGUUAUACGGAGGGGGUUAGCGUAGUUCGGAAUUACUGGGCGUAAAGCGCGCGUUGGCGGA